AACAGUCGUUGAUAUCGCGUAGAACAGGUUUUAUAAUGAGUACUAGAUUACUAGAGCAGGCCCAGUUCCAUGGGGCUAAGAGACUGGUUUAUCCAAGGCAUAGAAAGUUCUGGAUCUUCACCCACAUUCUCAUAUUCUGCUGCUCUACGGGUGUAGUGUGGGAGACCGUCACCCGGUACCUCAGCAACCCUACCUACAUGGUGCAAAUGACGGCAGUCAAGACCUGGGUGACAUUCCCCACGGUCGUUGUUUGCCCUGAAAUUAAUGUUCCCCAGGAGAAAAUUCUGCAAUUUCUUGGUAGAAUAAAAUAUCCUCCAGGAGUAGACGCCACUUACGUUGAAAGCAUCAUAUGGCAGCUCGGAGCCUUCUACUCUCGGGAUGUCACCUUCGAGACUGCAGACUUGGAGAGCAUCCAGCGGAUAUUGGAGUUUAAUGAUAUGGAUGUAGAAACCGCUGGGGCCAUGCUGACCUCGACGUGCGAGGAGAUUCUCAUUAAAUGUAAGUGGCGCGGGAAAAAUAUAACCUGUUCAUCAUUAUUUCGUAUGGAGAUGACGAGUUAUGGUUUUUGCUGCGUGUUUAAUGGAAGAUCUUUAAAGAGAGAAAUGAAAAAUCCUGGUUACAAUAAAAAGCAAGCGGUUCAGAAACUGCACGUGAGCCAAGUGGGACCCAAUAGAGGAUUGAUUGUGGCCAUUUCACAAAACGACACGCGCCCUCCCAUAAAUACUGAUCUCUAUUACAAGUGGAUAAGUCUGAAGAACAACGGCUUUUACUACGUGGAGAUGCUAUCCAACGGUACCCCCGUCCCGAUCGCUAGCGAGAUCUGGGCGGGGUUCUCCACCAAGGGCAUCCAUAUCGCUGAUGAAGUGAGAUAUCUCAGCCGCGACCUGCGCCGCUGUCGGAUGACUGAUGAGCCUUUGAAGUACUUCCCUGAAUAUCAUAGGACCUAUUGUCUAAUGGAAUGCGAAAUGGCACGCAUUAUGGAGCGCUGCAACUGCACUCAGCUGCAGCAUCCCGUGUUACCAGGAGUGAGGCAGUGCGGUGCGAGAGACAUACAGUGUGUCAGAUCGUCUGUUGGUACGUGGUAUCGUCAGAGAUAUGAUGCCUUUCGGUGCGGGCGUAUGCAACUGCCCCAUGACUUGUGACCGGGAUAUACAAAUAAGCAUGCCAUCCUCAUUUCGUAUUUAUCCGAAUUUACCAACCAUUGAUUCCUUUUAUGAAGGCUUGGAUUUGACGAGAAUAAGCAUUGUCCGAGUGUACCUGCAGAACGUUAACAAGAUGAUAUUCUCUCGGCGGUCUUAUUUCACGCAUUUCAACUUAUUUG
rnacentral:misc_RNA from 1 species